rnacentral:rRNA from 1 species
AAAAGAGGGUUAAAUAGUACGUGAAAUUGUUGAAAGGGAAGCGCUUGUGACCAGACUUGGGCGCGGCGGAUCAUCCGGGGUUCUCUCCGGUGCACUUCGCCGCGUCUAGGCCAGCAUCAGUUCGUCGCGGGGGAAAAAGGCUUCGGGAACGUGGCUCCUCCGGGAGUGUUAUAGCCCGUUGCAUAAUACCCUGCGGUGGACUGAGGACCGCGCAUCUG